rnacentral:rRNA from 1 species
UUCCCUACGGGAGGCAGCAGUGAGGAAUAUUGGUCAAUGGCCGAGAGGCUGAACCAGCCAAGUCGCGUGAGGGAGGACGGCCCUACGGGUUGUAAACCUCUUUUGUCAGGGAGCAAGGGACAGGUCGUGACCUGUUGUGAGAGUACCUGAAGAAAAAGCAUCGGCUAACUCCGUGCCAGCAGCCGCGGUAAUACAGAGGAUGCGAGCGUUAUCCGGAUUUAUUGGGUUUAAAGGGUG